rnacentral:rRNA from 1 species
AACGCUAGCUACAGGCUUAACACAUGCAAGUCGAGGGGAAACGAUAGAGAAAGCUUGCUUUUUCUAGGCGUCGACCGGCGCACGGGUGAGUAACGCGUAUCCAACCUGCCCAUCACUUGGGGAUAACCUUGCGAAAGUAAGACUAAUACCCAAUGAUAUCUCUAGAAGACAUCUGAAGGAGAUUAAAGAUUCAUCGGUGAUGGAUGGGGAUGCGUCUGAUUAGCUUGUUGGCGGGGUAACGGCCCACCAAGGCAACGAUCAGUAGGGGUUCUGAGAGGAAGGUCCCCCACAUUGGAACUGAGACACGGUCCAAACUCCUACGGGAGGCAGCAGUGAGGAAUAUUGGUCAAUGGGCGAGAGCCUGAACCAGUCAAGUAGCGUGCAGGAUGACGGCCCUAUGGGUUGUAAACUGCUUUUAUAAGGGAAUAAAGUGAGCCUCGUGAGGCUUUUUGCAUGUACCUUAUGAAUAAGGACCGGCUAAUUCCGUGCCAGCAGCCGCGGUAAUACGGAAGGUCCGGGCGUUAUCCGGAUUUAUUGGGUUUAAAGGGAGCGUAGGCCGGAGAUUAAGCGUGUUGUGAAAUGUAGGCGCUCAACGUCUGCACUGCAGCGCGAACUGGUUUCCUUGAGUACGCACAAAGUGGGCGGAAUUCGUGGUGUAGCGGUGAAAUGCUUAGAUAUCACGAAGAACUCCGAUUG